rnacentral:rRNA from 1 species
AGAGUUUGAUCCUGGCUCAGGAUGAACGCUAGCGGCAGGCUUAACACAUGCAAGUCGAGGGGCAGCGGGUGUAGCAAUACAUGCCGGCGACCGGCGCAAGGGUGCGUAACGCGUGAGCAAUCUGCCCGUAUCAGGGGGAUAAGCGAUGGAAACGUCGUCUAAUACCGCAUAACACCAAUGAUGGCAUCAUCGAUGGUUGAAAGCUUCGGUGGAUACGGAUGAGCUCGCGAGACAUUAGUUAGUUGGCGGGGUAACGGCCCACCAAGACCGCGAUGUCUAGGGGAACUGAGAGGUUGGUCCCCCACACUGGAACUGAGACACGGUCCAGACUCCUACGGGAGGCAGCAGUGAGGAAUAUUGGACAAUGGCCGGAAGGCUGAUCCAGCCAUGCCGCGUGAAGGAAUAAGGUCCUAUGGAUUGUAAACUUCUUUUGUACGAGAGCAAUAAGUGUCACGAGUGACACGAUGAGAGUAUCGUACGAAUAAGCAUCGGCUAACUCCGUGCCAGCAGCCGCGGUAAUACGGAGGAUGCGAGCGUUAUCCGGAUUUAUUGGGUUUAAAGGGUGCGUAGGCGGGAUUUUAAGUCAGCGGUGAAACGCAAGGGCUCAACCCUUGACCUGCCGUUGAAACUGGAGUUCUUGAAUGCGGAUGCUGUGGGAGGAAUGUGUGGUGUAGCGGUGAAAUGCAUAGAUAUCACACAGAACACCGAUUGCGAAGGCAUCUCACAAAUCCGUGAUUGACGCUGAGGCACGAAAGUGUGGGGAUCAAACAGGAUUAGAUACCCUGGUAGUCCACACUGUAAACGAU